UACGAACUGUGCGAACGUUAUUCGGAAUCACUGGGCUUACAGGGUGCGUAGGCGGCUUGUUAAGUAGGGUGUGAAAGCCCCCGGCUCAACCGGGGAAUUGCGCCCUAAACUGGCGAGCUGGAGUGAGAUAGGGGUAUGUGGAACUUCCGGUGGAGCGGUGAAAUGUGUUGAUAUCGGAAGGAACGCCGGUGGCGAAAGCGACAUACUGGAUCUUGUCUGACGCUGAGGCACGAAAGCCAGGGGAGCGAACGGG
rnacentral:rRNA from 1 species